ensembl:misc_RNA 7SK 7SK RNA
GGAUAUGAGGGUGAUCUGGCUGUGUGCGACAUAGGUCACCCUAUUGAUCACCAGGGUUGAUUCAGCUAGUCUGGUUGGCUAGGUGGGUGUCCCCUUCCUCCCUCACCCCUCCAUGUGCAUCUCUCCUGAAGCUGUGCACUCAGUUGAAGAGGAUGAUCUUCCCUGAAUAGAGGAGACCAAAGAAUUAAAAAUUAGUGUUUUUUUUGGGGGGUGGGGAGGGAGGUAUUGGUUUUAAGUUUAAAGCAUAAGCCUGAACAAAGGCCAGCCAGGUGGAGACAUGUCCAGCCACCUGAAGGG